UGGGGAAUAUUGCACAAUGGAGGGAACUCUGAUGCAGCGACGCCGCGUGAGUGAUGAAGGAAUUCGUUUCGUAAAACUCUGUUCUAUGGAAAGAAAAGGACUGUACCAUAGGAGAAAGCUCCGGCUAAAUACGUGCCAGCAGCCGCGGUAAUACGUAUGGAGCUAGCGUUGUCCGGAAUUAUUGGGCGUAAAUGGUGCGCAGGCGGCUUUACAAGUUGGAUGUGAAAUAUUGUGGCUCAACCACAAACGUGCAUCCAAAACUGCAAAGCUUGAGUUAAGGAGAGGUAAGUGGAAUUCCUGGUGUAGCGGUGGAAUGCGUAGAUAUCAGGAGGAAUACCGGUGGCGAAGGCGACUUACUGGACUUAAACUGACGCUCAGGCACGAAAGCGUGGGGAGCAAACAGG
rnacentral:rRNA from 1 species